UACGAAGGGAGCUAGCGUUGUUCGGAAUCACUGGGCGUAAAGCGCACGUAGGCGGCUUUGUAAGUCAGAGGUGAAAGCCUGGAGCUCAACUCCAGAACUGCCUUUGAGACUGCAUCGCUUGAAUCCAGGAGAGGUGAGUGGAAUUCCGAGUGUAGAGGUGAAAUUCGUAGAUAUUCGGAAGAACACCAGUGGCGAAGGCGGCUCACUGGACUGGUAUUGACGUUGAGGUGCGAAAGCGUGGGGAGCAAACAGG
rnacentral:rRNA from 1 species